GCUGGCGGCGUGCCUAACACAUGCAAGUCGAACGGGAAAACAGGGGCAACUCUGUGAGUACAGUGGCGUACGGGUGAGUAACACGUGACUACCUACCUUUGAGUGGGGGAUAACCCCGGGAAACCGGGGCUAAUACCGCAUAACAUCGCAAGAUCAAAGGAGCAAUCCGCUUAAAGAGGGGGUCGCGGCUGAUUAGCUAGUUGGUGAGGUAACGGCUCACCAAGGCGAUGAUCGGUAGCCGGCCUGAGAGGGCGCACGGCCACACUGGAACUGAAACACGGUCCAGACUCCUACGGGAGGCAGCAGUGGGGAAUUUUGCGCAAUGGGGGAAACCCUGACGCAGCAACGCCGCGUGGAGGAUGAAGUCCCUUGGGACGUAAACUCCUUUCGACCCGGACGAUAAUGACGGUACGGGUGGAAGAAGCACCGGCUAACUUCGUGCCAGCAGCCGCGGUAAUACGAGGGGUGCAAGCGUUGUUCGGAAUUAUUGGGCGUAAAGGGCGCGUAUGCGGCGCGGUAAGUCACCUGUGAAAUCUCCCGGCUCAAC
rnacentral:rRNA from 1 species